rnacentral:rRNA from 1 species
UACGUAGGUGGCAAGCGUUGUCCGGAAUUAUUGGGCGUAAAGCGCGCGCAGGCGGUCCUUUAAGUCUGAUGUGAAAGCCCACGGCUCAACCGUGGAAGGUCAUUGGAAACUGGAGGACUUGAGUACAGGAGAGGAAAGCGGAAUUCCACGUGUAGCGGUGAAAUGCGUAGAGAUGUGGAGGAACACCAGUGGCGAAGGCGGCUUUCUGGUCUGUAACUGACGCUGAGGCGCGAAAGCGUGGGGAGCAAACAGG